rnacentral:rRNA from 1 species
GCGCGAAAACUUUACAAUGCCGGCAACGGCGAUAAGGGGACCUCGAGUGCCAGGUUACAAAUCUGGCUGUCGUGAUGCCUAAAAAGCAUUGCAUAGCAAGGGCCGGGCAAGACCGGUGCCAGCCGCCGCGGUAACACCGGCGGCUCGAGUGGUAACCGUUAUUAUUGGGUCUAAAGGGUCUGUAGCCGGCCGGAUAAGUCUCUUGAGAAAUCCAGCAGCUCAACUGUUGGGCUUUCAGGAGAUACUGUCUGGCUCGAGGCCGGGAGAGGUGAGAGGUACUUCAGGGGUAGGGGUGAAAUCUUGUAAUCCUUGAAGGACCACCAGUGGCGAAGGCGUCUCACCAGAACGGACCUGACGGCAAGGGACGAAAGCUAGGGGCACGAACCGGAUUAGAAACCC